ACUUGAUCUGGUUGAUUUGAGAUUCCGAGAAUCGGAAGAUACGCUCACGGAGAAGCGGCGGUGGCCCCGCCGUGCCGUUCGGAGGGGCGGCUGCGGGGUUGAGAGGGAGGUCGAGCUUCACGCGCGUUUUGCGCGCUUUGGUGCGCUCGAGGAACGGUGGGACGGAGACGGAGUCGGCUCCGUUGCAGAUCUCGGCCCACGAGGUCAUGAAGUGCCACGUGGAGGUACCGUCGAGGAUCGCGUGGUUGAAAGCGCAUCCCAGUGCGAGUCCAUCUCUUAGCUUGGUGAACUGCGGAUCAUGACAGAAAAAUAAUUAGUUGGCUCACGGUAACAGACUCAAAAUUGGAGCCACGUGGAGGUUCAAGGGACGGUAACAGUGAGUAAUUGUCAUAAAUGCAUCUGUGGAUGCUUGCAUACUCGCGAAAGUAGUCUGUAGCUUCGGACUCGCUCUAGUAGACUGAAACCUGGAUUCUCCGUUUUCCAAUGCAAAAUGAAUGGCAGCUGGCACAUCUAAGUGUUUGAAACUUUUAUCUAGAGCAGUGCGUACGGGUAUUACCUAGAGCUGAACCUGCCUUUAUGACACUACCGUGGGCGCGAUACACCCAACCAUGCCUCCACCUUCAAAGCCUCAAAUUUUUACUUAUUUAUUUAUUUGUUUUAAAUUCAUUUAUUACCCAUUCUAUCAUAAUUAGAAAGAUAAAAAGAUAAUAAAAUAAAAUUAAAUUAAAAUGGGCUUUUAGGCCCACAACAAAGGCCCAAAAAAUUUCAUAAAUCAAAAAUACCCAUACCAUCAAUUUCUCAAAAAAGCAUAAGAAUAAAAUUAGGCAUGCCGUCCUUGUAUUAAUUGAAGUAGUUGAAUAACCUAGGAGGCUAGGACACGAAAUUUUCUUCUAGUCCAUGCUUUUCAACUAUUAGGAGAUCAUUCUUUUUGUACUAAAGAGGCAUAUAUGACUACUUUGAAUACAACAUUACGAGUAUGAAGUUUGGUAAGUGACAUGCCCCUACAAAGAUCCCAAAAAGGGAGAGUUCAUAAUAAAUAUUAAGAAUUUUAAAAUAAAAAUAAAAUAUUAUGUUCUUAAAUAUGCACAAAAUUAAACAAUUCCCAGCUUUAUCUUAACUAAUUUAUACCAUAUUAUAUAAAUAUUAUGCCAAAGGAUACGAUCUCUCCAUUCUCUGAUCAAAAACGUUUUCUAAAAUCAUUAUCAAACGUCAUUUUAAUCGAUAAUGUGAUAGAUAAUUUCUCGACUAUUAAUGAUAUAUUUGAUUUGGGAAAAAAAGAAAAAAAAAUACAAGGAAUAAUGUAAGUUUAUAUUUAGGAGAAAGAAGAAGAAGAAAUAAAUGUCCCUCUCCACAAAUGGAUCUACAUUUUGAUAUGAGACCUUGGUUUUAAGGUGGUGAAGUACAAUAAAUUCAUGGACAAUCAGCUUGGUAGGUGGGUAAAAUAAUGGGGAGAUGAUUACCUUCUUCUUAUCAUUUCUGUUUGGUUGGUGGGAUUUAGGAAACAUGACAAAAGAGAAAAUAAGUUAGAGCUGAUGCUAAUUUUUUUCAUUAAAUUUUCUCAUCAUACAAAGAGAGCAGAAAAUGAAAUUAAAUAAAUGAAUUUCAUUUGUAAUUUCCCAAAAAUUUUGUAUAUUAAUGUUUUAGUAAAUAAAAAUUUAAAUGACUUGAAGGCAAUGAAACAGUUCUGACAAUAAUACAUUGUCCUUCCCUAAAUAAACCCAACAAAUUUAAGGGCACCCCUAUAAUUUUAGGCCUGAUUUGGACCAAAAAGAGAAGAAAAAUAAAGAAAAAUUCAAUGCAAUAGAAUAGAAAAUAAAUAAAUUGUUACCUGUAGGACCAGGAGGGGUUUAUGAAGACCCUCAAAGUUCAAGACUUGGGUGUAUGGCACCAUAUCCUUCAUCAUGCUUGUGCACUCCACAUCUGUUAGAUCAGAGACACUGAUCUGAUCAGCACUUGCUUCCAACACUUCCACACCCUCCAUUUCAUCAUCAUACACAACCUUAAAGACCCCAUCUUCGUCCUUCUCAAGCUUCCCAGCCAACUGAUAAAACUCUUCCAAAACUACCCCUAACCCAUCCUUCAAUCUACCCACCAUGUCCUCAAAGUCAGACCCCUUGUAGAAUAGCAGCUUUUGGUUAUAGUAAAAGGCCAAAUAUGGGAGAUCAAAUGUGAUCAACUGACACUCUCUUCUCCCAAGCUUCUUAGUGGGCAUAAUGUGGGACUUUCCAUGGACAGACACCUUCACAACCUCAUCUUCCUCCUUCUUCACAACUUGAUCAGCUGCCAUGGUUGAUGAGAUGAAGAACCCUAAAAGCAAAGGAGAGAGAGUAGAGGUUUGGGGAGUGAAGAGAGAGGGAUUAAGGGAUAUACUUAUAGGGGAGUUUUCAUUUGAUAUGGUUGGAAGGUGCAUUUAUGGAAUGCAUGAGAGCAGUUGUAGGCCAUUUAAUGGCUCUUUUUUCUCCUCUGUUAGUCUGGGUGGAAGUUGAGUAAAGACGCUAUGGAAUGGCUGAGCACAGCUCCACUUUCUCUCUCUCAGAGCCUUUAAUGUAAUUUCACUAUCUUCUUUUUGAAAAGAAACAAAAUCUCAAUUAAGGCACCCUGGGCCAGUGGCUUUGACAAUCGUUACAAAGAAACAAGUUUUUGGGGGCACUUUCUAGCUAUAAAACUUUUUAGUAGACAAUAUUCUGCCCAAGAGAAAACCCAAAUCAUUCUUGAAUUUCAAGGCUCAAUUUGACCUAACCAUAACUCCCUGCAUUUAAAAGAUUGAUACGUGGUGGGAAAUACCCGUAAUAUCAUUUAUAAUGAUCUGUUUUCUAAAGCAUAGGUAUUAUCGACUUAAGAUAUAAGUUCAUACAUGUUGUUUUUAUGUAAAAUUUCUAAUAUGACUCGUAAGGAACUUUUUUUUUUGUUUUUAUAUUACCUUUUAAAAGUUAUGAUUUUGUCUUUAACUUCAACUUCUAAUAGUCAAAACUACGAAACUAACCAAACCAGAACUUAGAAAAAUAUCGAAAAUUUCUUUUCUUAAUAGACAUGAAAUCUUGUACCAAGGUUUCUAAAUUACCUUUAUGCCCCAAGUUUUUCCACAAUAAUUAGUCCUAGUCUCUUAGAAGAAGAAAUUUGAUUUUGAUAGGACUAUGUAUGCUUUUUCAAAAUUGGGGUUGAGUGAACCAUUGACAGGAACCUCAUGGACAUAGAAAAAGUUCCCAAAUGUGACCUUCAUCAAUCCAUUGCCAAAUGCAGACCUAAAAUUGAUGAACCCAUGAGGUUGUAAAAUUAAUAAGUUGUGAAAAGUGGUUGACAGUGUACACUUUCUUUGUUAAGAAUUUUUCAUUUUGGGAGUAGGGAAAACACAUGGAGAGAAGUAUUGAGUUGCAUGGGUAAAAGGGCCAUCCCCAACUUCAUUUGCAGCUAAUUUUCAUGGGCUUGAACCAAUUAAAAUUACUCAUCUUUAUGGUCAUGGGGGGCUGAGGGGUUGUUGAGGUUUAAAUGUGUCCCUUCCGACUCCUUCUCUGAAUGACUCAGUAUGCAACUUAGUGUGAACUACUUUAGAAUUCAUUUCUUGUCUUGGAAGAGGCUGUCAUGUGUGAUUCAUUUAUGCCACUUUGGAUCCUGUUUUAUUGGUUUUUAAAAGCUAGAAUGCUUUCAUUUCUUUUAAGAGAUUUUAUUUUGUGGGCAUUUGGGAUGGUUGUUAAUUUUUUUGGUCUGCAUUUGUAGUAGUAUGAUAAUCAAAAGUUAGAUAGUGUUUUUAUAUGUAUUAUGCUUGAGCGAUAAUGUCAAGUUACAUGAUCGGUAUAGUGAAAUUUAGACUAUUAUAUAAAGAUACAAACAAAUGAGAUUAGAGAGAGUGCACAUAUGACACUGUCUGAUUGAUGGUGUUUUCUCCAUAUUGUAUUGAAAAAACAAAAAUACGUUUUUUUUUUCGUAUCCGGCUUUAAAAAAGCAAAAAACAUGAACAUCUCUUAUUUUUCAAAAUAAAAUAAACCACAUAAAGAAGUAAGAAAAAAAAAAAAACCUAUCAUGAGAAGAUUUUACCCGUCUUAUUUAUUUAUUUUUUUAAGGUGUGUUACUUAAAACAUAGUUUUAAAAGGAUGAUCGUAAAAAUAUGAGUAGCAUUUUGAUAUUAUUAAUUUAAAAUAAAAAUUUUGGUUUAACUUCAAAUUUGACAUUAGGGUCAUUAAAAUAGAGGUAAAAUGUAGAUGUGAAAUUAAAAAUAUUUAUUUGAUAUUCCUAAUUAAUGAAAAUAGCAUUAUUUUCAAUUAAUGGUUCAUAUGAAAGGGUUCACUUCAAGGGACCUCCCACAUCUACCCCAUCAAUGCUAUUUAACAUUAAGAAGAUGGUGCCCUCUCUUUGGGUGGAUGGGUCAUGCACUCUAUAGGUAAUGGAAAAUGACUUGUUAUUCAUUGACAAUUUGACAUACAAGGCUACACCUACAUCUUGGAAUUUCAAUUUCUUCUUCAUUUCUUAUAAUGGAAUUUGAAUAUCAAAAUUUAUGGUGCAAAAAACAAUAAACAAAAUUGAAUUUGGGUCCUUAAAAUAAUAAAUAACUAAAUAAAUAGCUUUCUUGAUUGAGAAUUGACAUGUCAUGUGGGAUUUUUUUGGCCCUAUUGCUUCUUGCCAUUACUACAUGACUUUAGACUAUAGUUGCUUUUUGAAAAUAAAUUUAAAAAGGGGAUAUUAAUUAUGUAAUUUUUUUUCUCUUUGGUUAAAGAUGAAGGGUCUAUUUGGUAAUUAUUUUGAAAAAAUAGUUUUUGAGAACAAUUUUUGAAAACUAUUAUUUAAUUUUUGUAAAACAAAAGUUUGUUUAAAAACUUAAAUUUUUUUUAACUUAUUUAAUAUUUUAAAAUAUGUUUUAAAAAGAAAUUUUAUAUCUAAUUCUAUAUAUUUGUAAAAUUAUUUCUUAAAACAACCCUCAAAAAACAAGUAAAAAUAAUAUAAAACAAUUAAGAGAUGUUCUCUGAAAACAUUUUGUUUUCUAUUCUAAAGAUUACCAAACGUGUUUUCUCUAUUUUUUGUUUUGAAAAAUAGAAAAUUAUUCUAAUAAAUAUUUCUCAAACAAGUUCGAAAAUUCUCAAUUUUUUUUUAUAAAAAAAUCAUAAUGUCAUAAUAAUCACAUUGACAUUUAGUGGUAUGUUUUCAAGAAAUGGUUUUUAAAAAUCAAAUUUAGUAAUAUUUUGGGGUGUAAAGUAUUUAUUGCUUGUAGUUAAUGAACCAAUAAAUCACAAAAUAUAUGAUAUUGUUUGUUAAAAUUCUCAAAUUUAAUAUAGCUUUUUAAUUCAGUUUAUUUAUAUACUCUAUCAAACUGAUGAUCAUUUGUAUGCAUUUUCACUUUCUAUUUUUAAAUAGAAAACAUAAUGAUAACAUUUUUUUUUCUAACAUUAAUUUAUGCUUCAAAAAAGGCAUUAUUAUCAAGUUUUGUGUAGUGGGAUAAGGGAUAUUGUUGAGUAUUUAAACCAAAAAUAAGCACCAAAAAAAAAAAUCAAAUCUUUUUUGUUAAAAAAAUUAAAUUUUAUUUUUUAAAAUAAAAAUAUAAGGCCCGUUUAGCCAUGUUUUCUAAAAUUAUUUUUAAGUUAAUAACAAAAAACUGUUUUUAAAAAUAAGUUUUAAAAAAAAGGUCAAAUGGGCCAAUAUUUUCCUUUUGGUUUUUAAAAAGGGUGAAAAAUUUUCCUACUUACUCUCUAAAAAUUAUUAUCUAUUUCAUUUUAUUUUUAAAAUUUAUUUCCAAAAAAUAAUAACCAAUCAAUGUUAGAAAUUUUUAAAAACAACUUAAUAUUUUUUAAAACAAAAAAUUGUUUUUAAGUCACACCAUCAAAUCAGGCUCAUAGACUCAUGAAAAUUGUUGUUUGAAGUUUUGUAAAAAUAAAUAAAUAAAUAAAAGUUUGGAACUUGAAAUGUUUUUGUCUUAUUUUUUAUAUUUUUAAAUAUUUUUUUUUAAAAAAAUUAACUUUUAUAAACAAGUCAAAAACUACUAAAAAUGUUAUAAUAAACACCCUGUCUCCGAUUUUUUCUUUUCCUAAUUACCAAAUAUGUUUUCUUUUAUCUUUUUAUUCUCAGCAUCUAAUAAACCAACAUAGUGUUGAUAUUCUUUUGUCAAUAUUUUUUUUUUCCUAUUUUUUGUUAUGUUAUUGGUAACCGACUAUUUAUUAAGCACAUGGCUCCACUUGAAAUGACCUUAUUUGAAAAUUACACAUUAAUUAAUGGUAUCCAAACCUACUAAGAUUUUGACUUGCCAACAACUCAUUAACCAAAAACUCAAACUAUUUUCUAUGUACGUACUUUCUUUCAUGGAAUCCUUUUUCCUCGUUGCCCAUGGAUAGCAACCACUAUAUAUUGAAAAGGGAACGUCAGCUCAAUAUUGAUAGCAAUAGAUCACCAUGGAAAUUGCCUACCACUCUUCUAUUUCUCACAACCUUGUUUCUUCCAAAAUAAAACAAAAAAAAAAAAUGAUAAUUGCUUUCUAAUCUAUGAAAAAAAUUUGGAAUACUAAGGUAAUUUUUAAGUCUUGAAUCAUUUUACGGUAAUAUUUUAAUGAUUCUUUUUCUUGUUUAUAUAUAUUUUAUCUCAUAAAUUACUCGAAGUUUGGUUUUCGAGAUUGUUAAUAUGAACAAGGGAAAAAUAGGUUUUGAUUCACUAAUUUGAAAAAAUAUAGAAAAAUGAAUCUCGACUUUUAUAAAUUAGUUUUAUCUUCAUCCAUUUAAAAAUAUUUUAAAAUAUAUGCACUUUUCAUAAGUCAGACAAUUAUUUCCUAAAAUACCCUUUUACUUGAUAAUGUUAAAUAAAAUUAUCAAAAAAAUAUCAUUUUAAUUUGAUAAAAAUAUCUUAUAAAUAAAAGUAUAUGACAAUAAGUUUUAGUUGAAACAUACGUAUUUAUUUCAAACAUGUAUUUUCCUACUAAAAUCUUUACAAUGCGAACAAAUAUAGGUCAUAAGUCUAAAUAGAGAGGAUGCCCAAAACGUUCUCGUGUUAUGCUUGUACAUUUAAAUGUUUAUGAGAUUAUGAAAUAAUAAAAUUAGUAAUAAAAGUUUAGCUAACCUAUGGUUAUUUGAAGAUUGUAACCAAUUUUUUUAUAUGAAGUAGGUAAGUGAUGAGAGGUGGGUUUAAGCAAUAAAUGAAAAAAUUCAAUUACCUGAUAAAAACAAUACAUGUGAGCCAACUACUCGACAAGUUGAAAAGAAACAAUCUAUUAGUAUUAAAUGAGUUUAUAAGAUGAAGUACAAACUCGAUGGUAAAGAUAAUCAAUUUUAGACUAGAUUGAUGGCAAAAGGCCACAAAUAGUAGGUAUCUAUAAUUUUUAAGUUCUUAUACUAGUUGCCAAACUAAACAUCAUUAGCAUAAAAAAUUGAACUUGUAAUUAAGAAAAAGUGAAAACUUCACUAAAUGAAUGUUAAAUGAAGAAAAGUUUUUAUUAAACAAAAUAAGCAAGUUUACAAACUAGAAAAUGUAUUAUUUUAGUUAAAGUAAAUGUCACAUACUUGGUAUAGGCGGAAUGAGAUAUUUAUUUAUUGUAGCAAAGUUUUCGAAAGUGUUCUUCUAAUCAUACACUCUGCACAAAAGUUAAAUUCUUAUAGUGAUAUAAUUGUUAUAUACCUAUAUAACAUUAUUUGAUUUUUAUAGGAAAUCGUCAAGAGAUGAUUGAAGAUUUCAAAGGGAUGUUUGAAGAUUUCAAGGAGAUAACGAUCCAAUAAUUUAAGAUAAUAAAUUUGGUACUAAUGUCCUAUUUUCUUAAAAAUCGAGGCCCAAUAGGAUAAUGAUAUCUUUAUCUUACAGAACAAGUGUAUCAUACACAUUUUAGAAUGAUUUAUGAUCAUUAGUAAUAACUUGCACUCCUACUACAAACUGAUUAAAAAUAAAAAAUAACAAAAUAAAGGACAAAAUAAUUAAUAAAUUUCACAUAUUUCAAAAUCGUAGUAGGAACUCUUUACUAUUUUAUUUCUACUGGAUCGAAUAUGCUUUAAGAGUAGAAAUUACUAGUAGAUUAAUGAAAAGAAAUAUAUGUUACAUUUGUGAGCAGUAAGUUUAGCAAUGACACUUGUGAUCAUGAAAUUUUAUACUCCUAUUUGAGCAACUUCAUUUUGGUGUGCGACAAGGUUAAUAAUUAGAGCAACUUUGAAAUAUGUCGAGCAAUUUAGCUUUAUAGGAUACUUAGUAAGUUGAAAUAUCGACAAAAAGAUCCUAUAAAGAUUUUGUAUGAUAAUAAAUUUAUUAUUGCAUUGCCAAAAAAUUUGUUGUUUUAUGAUAAAGGCUAACACAUAUGCAUCAAGUUUGAUUACAUUAAAAAACUUGUGAAAUCAAGCUCGAGUUUUGUGGAACAAAUUACAGAUAUUUUUAUAAAACUACCAAUAUAGAACAUAUUUGAAAAAUUAAAGAUGACAUAAGAUGUAAUUAGCUUUAAAGUUCGGGUUAAGGAAAGUUAUUGAAAAAUUUUAAGAAUUAUUAUUUAUUUAGGUUUUUAAUAAUUCAUAUAUAAUCAAUUUAUUAUAUAUAUAUAUAUAUAUUGAAAUAAAUUGUGAAAUCCAAUAUAAAAAUUGGUGACAUUAUUUUUAAUAAUAAAAAUGAAAAAUAAAAUAAAUUAUUUUGAUGAGCAAGUGGGUGGACCCUGGUCCAUAAUCUCCUUCACCACAAGGGUUCUCCCUCUAUUAAUGGUCAUGAAACAUAAGUAUAAAUGCUCUUCUAGCUCAUCUAGCUGCUGGCUAAAGUUAGAGUCAUUCUCCUUCAGCUGGCGCGCCACUUCUCCACUGGCUUGCAGGUUAUCCUCUUUAUGCUCCAACCAAAACCUAACCAUUCCACUUAUAUGCUCCAGCUCAUUGUUUAGCCUGGCCACAAGCCGGCUUAUCAUGUCCAUAUCCUUGUUCAGUAUGUAAGUUCCUUUGGCAGCUGCGUCAAGCUGAGCCGACCGCCUGGCUAAUUUCCUAGUCGAGGCUAACUCAAAUGAAGCCGCUAUGAGACCUGGUGCAGCCACCAACAUUGCUAAGGCGUGAGUUGUGGCGAUUACAGCCACCGAAGCCGUUAGCGCGACAAGCAAAAUAGCUGAGCCGCAUUUUAUGCUUUUGACGAGCUGGAGCUUGGCUCGAGCCUUGUCACGUCCUAACUCUAACCGCUUGAGUAAGCCAGAGCAGCCGGUUUGGAUGACCCGAACCCGAGCCAAUAUUACUGGAAAGCGGUUUACGGGUAGUAACUCAGUGGCUCCAUGAGAUUCCAGGGUGGAUUUCAAGGAUCGGUACCAAACACGUAUACGGUUAAUAUCCUUUAGCAGAAGGCUACACAGGAAAGAAGCGUUAGCCGUUUCAGAAAAGUAUUCGGCUAGAAUAGAGUGGUUUUUGGGUCUGCUUUGAGCCAAAGCCAAUAGUUGAGUGACAGUGGGUUGGUCCGGAUCUAAGAGAUAUUCAGCGAAGAGCCGGUAGGAUGAGAGCCGAGCCGCAGUGGUGGACUCUAUGGGAAUUGACGUGGCGCUAUCUCCAUGGGUUAGAGUAAGGACACGUGUCCAAAACUCAAUGUAUGAUUCAGUGCGGAAGGCAUUAGCAUAUUCUUCGCGAUAAUCCACAUAAUUAGGAAGAUUAGGAGGGUUGGAUCCGGAGACUGCAUGAUAAAAAACAAAAUGGGAUAUCACAAUCUUUUAAUUUGUCACAUCAUACUAUGUUAAAUUACAACCCGACAUCAACAAUUUAAUCCAAAAACCAAUUAAUGUUUGUUAAAAAUACGGUAAAUCUUUUAUGAUAUUCUGCAUCGCACCUCAUUGAUUUAUUUUAAUAGACAUUAUUUAGGUGGUCCAUUUCCCGAUUUAAAAACGAUUCUUAUAACUCAAACUCAUUACCCUUAACCUAAUAUCAAUUAUUGGAUCGGGUUUUGAUCGAUUUUUUACUCCAAUACUAGUUUUUGGAUCAAACUUUCACUAUCUAAUAUAACUAUCAAUUUGCAUUCAACAAAAAUAAAUCAAACCUUUUAUAAUAUUCAACAUAACAAUCAACAGUCGUAUUCUAAGGGUACACCCAAAAGGACAUUACUAUAUCAAAAAAUUAGGAUGUUUUCAUAUACUAAAUUAUCACAUUUCCUCAAAACGAAAUUACUUUCAACUAUUGAAUACCACUCUAAUAGUGAAAAAUAUAAUUAAUGAAUCACAUGCAUAGAAAAUCAUACCAAAGUACUUGCCCUAUCCAUGAUAUAAAGUCUUAACACAAAUUAGGGCAAUCAACUUCUGAAAAAUGGGCACAUGGUACAUACCAUGGGACACCCUGUUCUUCAGUACAGGGCUUCAAUGGCAUUAGUGGUGAUGUGAGACUACUCCUAGACCCCUGUUCUCUCUUUUCUUUCAUUCCGACUAUCUUUGGAAGACAUGGGGCUGUGGGGGAUUCUGGUUGUUGGGUUAUGCUAACCCUAGCCAUUCUCAAUCAAUGCUCUUAACUUCACUCAUGUUGGACCAAUUUCUAUUUCUCACAUUUUGUACCCACUAAAUUUCUAGGGUAGAUGUGGCCUGUUUGGGCUUAUUUUGGGUUCUUUUUUAGCUCCCUAGGGCCUAGCCAAUUUGCCACUUUUUCUAUCAUUUUAGAAAUGACAAUGAUUUUUUUUUUUCCAAAAAAGAAAACAUUUUUAGUAUAUUUUUCUUUAUUGGAAGUAGAUGGUAAUUUAGAACUAUACAAUUUAUUCUACAAUAAGAUAAAAUAAUUUUAAUAAAAACUAGUGUUGAACCUACAUUUCACCAAACAUGAAUUUGUUGAGUUGAAAUAUUAAAUCGAUGUAAUUUAGAAAAAUAAUUAUAACUUAAGACUAUGUUUCGUCUAUGAAAAGUAUUAAAAAAAGAAAAAAGUUAUUAAUUUUUUUUCUUAAAAUAACUUUUAAUAGAAGGGACUUCAAGAUUUAUUUUAAGGGAACAAGGGAAUAAAUUUUUUAUUUCAAGUAGUUGAAAACAAAAUUUUAUUUAAAAUUUUUUAAUUUCAUAUUGUUAAAUAUUUAUAUUUUAAAAAUAUAAAUUAAAUUAUUGAUAUAUUCUGAAAAGGAUACAUUUUUUGAAAAAAUAUUUUUGAAAGAGUUUUCUAAAGCCUCCUAUUAGACAUGUAUAAAAAGAACCAUUGGUUUUUUUUUUUUUUUUUUUCUAUUUUUAAAAGUAAAAUUAAUAUUAUUUUCUGUGGUGAAAUAAAUCUAAAUAUCAAAAAGUUAUGAAACUGCCUCUAAGAAAAUAAUUGAGAUGAUUUUUUCUUUUCUAACCAUGAAAAGAAUCAGACACUACUUUGGGCCAUUUGUAUGGAUUAAAAUGGGCUCCUAUGGGCCUUUGUGGCCCAUUUAAAACUUUUUCAAUAGGAGUAUCUUAGGCCUUGGCUCCAUACGUGGUAGCCCAAAUCCUUGAGCCCACCCAGGCCUGUGAUGGUGGCAUGAAUGGGAGAAAAAUAAAGGCUAGUGUAGAUAAAAUAAAAUAUAAAUAAAAAAUGAAAGUAUAUAUUUUAAGGACAAAUUCAGUCUGUCAGUUUAUUAAGACCUUGUUUGGAUUGACUUCUAACAAGUAAAAAUAUAUUUUUUCAUCUCUUGACGUACAUAAAUUUAUCAAAAAAUUUAUUAUUUAAUAAAAAAACUUAAAAUAAAGGGUUAAUCGAUUAAAAGGGUCAUUAAAAACCUAAUUUUUGAAAUUCACCUUUUCAUCAUUUUUCUAGCUUUAUCUGGACAAAAAUAUUCUCGUAUUUUUCUCGUAAAAAUAACCACUUCUUUUAAAACCUACAUAUAAAUACUUGAAAUAUUAAAGGUCAUUUAUGUCAAAAAUUAAUUACUUUUCAAGUAAAAAUAUGAAAAGUUAAAUUUACAAAUUUGAAAAUUAUUUUAUCCCUUUUAAUCAAGUAAUUCUAAAUAAAAAUAAGCACAUAAUUAGUUCUUAUAAAAGCCCUGUUUUAAAUGAAAUAUAAAAAAAUUUUGAUUUAAAAUUAAAUUAAAUAAAAAUGAAAAAUAAAAGUAAAAAAACGAAGAAAAAAAUAGGUGUAAAAUCAAUAAUUUUUUCUACAUGCUAACCUAAACUUUUUUUUACUCAUUUUAGCUAUUUUAUAUAAAAAUUAAAUAAUUUAAAAAUAAAUAACUUUUUAACUAAUUUUAAUUAUAUAUUUUUUAUAACUAAACUAUAUACGAGAAAAUCACUAUCUUUAAUAUUUUUUUUUCCUUUUGUUUUUAUUGAUAUUUUCAUAAACCCAACAUAAUCAAAAUAUGAAAAUGAAUAAAUAAAUACAUGAAUAAAAAAAAAAAAUUGCAUACCAGAGCAUGAAAGGAAUUUUCGGAUGCAAAUGCUGAUUCUUUUCCUCAUUCUGCUUCUUCAAAUGCAAAAUUCAGGUCAGAGAUGAAGAAAAUUUGGCUUCAAUGGUUGGAUUCUACACAAGUCUGGAGAAGGAAGUGAAAGGAAAAUGGAAAAGGGCUCUUUAUAAACCAAGAAAAUAGUUUCUUGCUUUUGCUUGUGGGAAAGGUGAGCUUGAAGUGCAAGCCAAGGACUUGCCUACAUUUUGAUACUUACAAGGAAAAUGCAAAUAUUUGAUUAUUAUUAUUAUGAUCAUAUUUUCCGGGGAGUGAACUGUUUGGAAGGAUGGAAAAUUUUGUGGGAAAGCUUAUACACGUGGGAUAAUUUGUAUAGUUCUAGAAAACAUUAAUGUGCAAUCGAAGUCUAUGGAGAUAGAUUGCUUGUUUUAACCCACCACCCAUAAUAUUAUUUUCUUAAUUGAAUGAAAUAUGCCAUAAAAAGAAAAAUAAAAAAAAAUGAUUAAAAAGAAAAACUUAUCAUAAAAAAAGAUGAAGAAGCAAUAAACAUUCGAAUAAUGUAUAAAAUCUUGCUUACUAGAUCAAAUAUGGGAUAUUAGGUUGAAAGCGUUAAAUCAUAAAUCCAAAUACUAAGUGAGUAUUUGGUAAAUCAACUUAAUAGCUUAAAGUGAUUUAAUAAUUAAUUUAAGUUAUUAAGUAAAUUAAGUAUGUUUGAUAAAACAAAUUAAUGAUAUAACUUAAAAUAAAAAAUAACUUGAAGUAAUAAGUAAAAAUAAUUAACUUAUUAUUAAGUCUACAUCCCUAUUUUUACUUUUUUACCCUUAUUUGUUUUAAUUACUUCCAUAAUUUUUUUUACUACUCCACGACACCUUUAUUGUUACUUCAUCUUUUUUAUCCUAGUUAUAAUUUAUGAGGAUGAAUAUGUUAAUUUAAUGAUUUAAAAUAAAUUUUAAGUUAAUUUUAUCAAAUAACUUUAAUACUUAAAGUAAAAAUUAAAUAGUAAGUUUUAAGUCAAUAAGUUAAAUAAAAUUUAACUUAAAGUCAAUUUAAGUCAUUAAAUAAGUAUUAAGUCUUAACAAAUACCCCUAACAUUCACUUAGUAAAAAUAUAAAAUAUUUAAUUACUCAAGUAUUGGUUUGAUUAUAAUUUCUGUUUUUUAUUUUUAAAAUAGAAAAAAAUGAUAACUUUUAUAAAGAUGUGAAAACUAUCACAAUCUACAUAUAUUGAAAGAGUGAUAACAUUAAAAUUUAUUUACAAAAAUUGAAGUAUAUAAAAAAAUUACUAUUUCAAUUUUCAAAAUUUUCAAAAGUGAUUUUUAAACUAUAAAAUAAUUUAUUUUUAAAAAAUAUCUUACUUUUAUAUGGUAUAUAUUUUAAAAAUAAAAAGAAUAAAAAGUAUACUUGCAUUUAUAUACUAAUUUUAUAUCAUUAUUAAUAUUUACUCAUUUUAUUUUAAAAUAUGUUAUUUAUAUAUAAUUAAACUAUACCUCAACAAGAUAAAGAGGAAGAAAAUAAAGUUAGUAAUCUCACAUCAAUUAUUGAUGGUAUUUGUUCUUUGACUGAAUAGAAAAAGUCAAAAUAUUUAAUUUUUUUUAUUAAGUUAAAAGUAAUUGGUUAAUAUCAAUCAAUACAAGUAAAGUAAAUUUUUUAUCAAUAGAUUUAAUUUAGUCAUAUUGAUCGAUAUCAAAAGAUUACUUUUACUUAAAUUAAAAAAGUUCAAUAUUUUAUCUUUAUUUUAGAAUCAUUGCAAAAAUAUGAAUGAAAUAUAAAAAGUUCAAUAGCUUUGAAAACGAUAGAGGCAUCGAUGACUAUUAAUUUUAUACAUCCGUCAAAUUGAUGGACUAAAAUAAUAUUUUAGUACUUAAUUUUUAAUUUUAUCAAAUACCAUGUUAGUGGAUUAAUUUUUAAUUUUAUCAAAUUCCUUGUUACUUUCAAAUCACAAAUAGUUUACAAAAUUAAUUAAUUUUAAAUCUAAAAAUGAAUUGAAGUUUGUAUCAACUAUGUUUCCUAAUUUCAAACCUUAGUGAUUUAGGAAACCAAGUUUGUAUCAACUAUGUUUCCUAUUCAUGUCCACUUUCUAUUUUCUCUCAUGAGCCAAUUGGAUUACCAUCCAAAAAAAGUAAGAAAAUAAAUAAAUUACACAAAAAUAGAAAUUCUUAGUUUACACCAAAUCUAUGAUUCUAUCUAUAAAUAACUACUAGGACUCAAAUUUAGCUCAAGAAAUUUGAUGUUACUUUCUAUUUCUACUCAGAUUUCCGCUCUAUAUAUUCUCUAAAAUCCAAGGUUUUUCCAGUUUCUGGUUAGAAGAAGAAGAUGGUAAAGCUUGAAGAUAUGGAGGAUGUGAUGAUGAAGAAGGACCGCUGGGAGAAGUUUGAUGCCCUGGUAGAAGUAGCGUUCGUUGCCGGACGGCAAGAGGAGGACGAAGAACGAGAGAAGAAAAUGAGAGAAGAGAUGGAGAAAGCUGUUGCAUUCCUCUCCCUCGCCGCGAAGAAGCGUUGUAAGACCGUGCCGAGACCAUAUCAGCAGCCGAACAUGGAGCCACCUCCGGAGAUGCCGGAGAGAUUCAGAAGGAAGAUAAUGGAGAUGGGGGGAGACAAUGUGGCGUUUGUGAUCGAGAAGAUGCUGUUCGAGACGGACGUGAGCGCGGGGCACAACCGAUUAUCGAUGCCCAUGUGCCAAAUCAGGCAGGACUUUGUGACGAAGGAAGAGAGGAGGAGGUUGGACUCGACGGACGCGAACAUAAAUGGAGUGGAGGUGAUUCUGGUAGAACCGUCCUUGGAGGACGACGAAGUGAUGCUGAAGAAGUGGAAGAUGAAGAGGAACUCGAUUCUGUAUGUGCUGAUAAAGAACUGGAACUCUGUUGUGAAGAGGAAUGGACUGGGUGCAGGGGAUGUGGUUAGGGUUUGGUCGUUUAGGGUUGGGUCGAAGCUGGGUUUUGCCCUGGUUAGGGUUGGAGAUGAGGAACAUGAAGGCAAGAAAGGCAAGUCGACGGGGAAGAAGAAGAAGGAUGGUGGGAGUGGAAGUGGGAGUAAAGGGAAAGAAGUUGAAGACAAUGGUGGCAAUGAGACUUGGAUCCACUAGCCAUGCAUACGUGAUGUGUUCUUAGGGUCAUAUUUGUAAUUUGAGGGGUUUGUUUUUUUUUUUUUUUGGAAAAUUAUCUUACAUGGUUUUUGGGUCCUGUAAGAGUUAGGUCCUGCAAGGGUUUUUGAGUCCUGUUAAGUGUUAGGUCUUGUAAGGGUUUAUGAGUCAUGUUUGGGUUAAGUCACCAAAUUUCAUUGGGAAAAUUUAACUAUAAGAUAGUUCAAAUUUUCUCAAAUUUUCUCAUUUGUUUGCCUUUUUCUCCCAUAGCUCAUAGCCAUUUAUGAUCAUAAUAAUGUAUUAAUAUUGAAACCAAUGUGGCACGAUGGGGGCACCUCUAACUCUAUUAUUUUUGUAGUGAAACAUAGGUAUAUAUGACACAUCUUAUAAUAUAAAUAUAUUAAAAAUAUGAUGUAUUAUGAUAUGAUCAAUUUUAUUUUUUUAUUAAUUAUUAAUGUUGAUUUUUUAUUAUUAAAAUGUUUUCUUGAUAACUUUAUUACAAAGUAAAACAAUUCAAUAUUUACGAAAUCAAUAUAAUAAUAAAUAUAAUGACUUUGUUACUCUGUGCAACCCCUCAAUUCAAACCGAUGCUUGUUGUUGCACCAUGAAAGAUGUUGUAAAGCACGUAUGGAUAAUUGUCUAGACACUUAUGAAUAUUCAAAUCAAAACUGUGAAAGCCUAGAAAAAUACUUGUCUAGACACUUAUGGAUAAUUGUGAUACACUCAUUGACAUUCAGUUAAUAGCAAACCAAUCAUAUAAGAUACUUUUUUUUUGUUUAGUUGUUAUAUAUGUAUACUUAUGAGUUUUAUCAUAAGAAUCAUUGACAGUGAAAAUAGACUUAAUAUAUGAUGUUAAUUCAUUGAUAUAAUGUAUUAAUAUGGGAACCGAUGUGGCGUGAUGGGCACCUCUAACUUUAUUAUGUUUGUCACAUAUGCAUUGACCAAAUUAUAUAGAAAACUUAAUUAUAACACAUAUGCAUUAAACUUAUAAUACAAAUAUGUUAAAAUUAAUUAGGACAUGACCAAAUUUUAUUUUUUAAUAAUUAUCGCUAUUGAUUUUUUUUUAUUAAAAUAUUUUUUUAUAGUUGUUGUUAUUAAUUAGUAGUAUUAUUAUUAUGUUUGACUUUUAAAUCCUUUUCGGGACUUGUAAAAAUAGAUUCCUUAAGGGGACUUCUAAGCUACAUAUGACUUAAAUUAAAGAGUAAAAAAAUGUGAGUACAAUUUUAUUUUAUUUUUUGUAUGAAUUAAAGAAUAAAAAAGUAGUGGACAAAUUUUAAUAAAAAAUGUGAGUAUGAUUUUUGUGAUAUUCUUUAAAUUAAAGAAUAUAUAAUCUUCUGAUUCAACCUCUUGAGGAUUCAAAUUUGGCAAUUAUGUACUUUUGCUUAACUUAAUCAAGGGUUGACUAGGCUUGAUCUUGACUCUUCCACAUCAAUAGUUGAUUUGUACCAAAAUAUAUACUUAUAAAAACACUAAUGAUUGCGCUCUAGACUCGCAACGGGGACAAAUCACUAUUUAUAUCUUAGAUUAGUGUUAAUAUCCAUUUUGAGAACUAAUGCACUAUUUUUUAAUAAACAGACAAAGAAAAGGAGAAAUGUGAGAAUUUGAUGCUAUUUUGACAUAUGAAAUAAAAUAAAGGUACGAAUAUAACGCAUAAAGAUGUCCUAGUAUUUAUUGAAGUGGAGAAAGUGGAGUAAAGCAAGAACAAUCACAAAAGCAUAUCAAAUUGGUUUAAGGAGUAUUAAAAUUGAUUUGAGGUCAAACUAAUAACAAAAGAAAUGAAGUAACACAAACCAAUGCCCAAAAUUAAUAUUCCCAUUUCAAAACCAAUUCAGGAGGACAAUGAAGAUGCAUUAGUAGUAAUUCGCAUUCAAAUUCUGAUUUGUAAAGCUUUAAAUUAGUUUUGACGAUUCCACUUUAAAGAGAAAUUGGUUUCACUAGAGCUUCUUGCAAGUUUCCCAUUGAAAUUCAUAUUUGAGACUUUACUUUUGUAAUUAUGGUUUGUUAGAUAUUACUUUUGUUAAAGUGGCCAAUGAGGUUAAGUGACAUGUACUUUUAGGGUUAGAUUAUACAUACUUUUCAUUAAUGGGUUAAAAGGAGAGUGUAGUUUUAUAUUUGGAUUUUCAUGUUCAUAUGUUGAAGAUCUUUUGCUUUAUUUUCAAUAAUACCAUAGGUUCCUUAUUAUCUUAUGAAAUUUGUGUGAAAACUCAACCAUGAGAGGCUAUGAACCUUUCUUCUAGCAAUGUAGCAUAAAAGGUGGAGGAUUGGGACAAAGGGCAAUGAGUAUAGUAAGGCUACAUUGGUAGAUUAGGGUUUUGAUGUUUAUUUUGAGGUAAUGAGAUCCUUGGUAUAGUUUGGAUUGGGUGAAAUAUAGUAGAUGCUUGUUUAAGGUACUACUAAUACCUAGACACCGGGUAAUUAAGUCUAAUCCCAAAUAUAUAAGAUGAAUAAAUAAUUUGGAUAUAUGGACAAAUUUAGGUUUUGUCAGAUUUAGAGUCAUAGGAAAAGUCUUAUCAAUCUAUAAAAGUCAAUUAUGUCGAUAUCAGAGGAGGGUAUCCGAAUAUGACACGAUGUUCUUUUCUUCUCUAGUUUUUAUUAGCCAAAAUUUCUAUGGAAAUAAAGAAAUUUAUAGUAAAACAAAAAGUAUGAAUCAAGAAAAUGGUGUCAUCCCCAAUGACCAUGAAAAUAAGUUUAAAGUGAUUAUAUUAUUUUCAUAUAUCUACCCAAUUUCAUUUAUUUUAUUUUUUAUUUAAACAAUGAAAAUCUUUCAAAUAUAUAAAAUAUGUAAGUUUUUAAUUUUUUUUGGCAAGCCCAACCCACAUUGCCACCACCUUAAUCAUUGUUUUCUAGGGGGAAAAGCCCGUCUAAACAAGCCCAUAUCACCACAGUUUGGGCUCUACCUUUUGACCCCAUCUCGGAUGAGUAAUGCAUUUAAAGGCCUCCCUAUUCGUCGUCCGAUGUGGGAUUGGUGAUAUUAGUUUAAAGAAAAACAAUGAAAGAAAAUCCCACCAAGUUUAAGAGAUAAUAUGGGCACCACUCGCCCACACACUUUUUAAUGCUAAGCUUAGCAAACACAAAAAAAAUAUCAUUUUCUAAAAAAUUUUAUAAUAUUAAAUAAAAACAAUGUAAUAUUUUUAAAAAUCAAGUAAUUAAAUUUUCUCUAUUUUUAAUAUAUUCAAAUUUAAAUAUUAUACAUAUUUUAUUUAAAUAUAAUAUCACAUAUUCGAUGACUAAUUUAACUAGUUAGUUAUGAAUCAAUAAUUUUUUUGAUUUAAUAUUCCGAAUUUUAUUUUAUUUUUUUCUCCUACUAUACUCAUACAAUAAACACACGAUCAAUUAAAUAAUUUUUUAUACUUUGAUAUCAUUUAUUUAAACUUUGAUUUGAAAAUCAAUAAAUAAAUAAUAAUAAACCUAGAAUCUAGAACCUUCCAAAUGGAAGACAAAGUGGAGCAUGUUGUGGCAUUAUGCUCAAUUUUGAGAAGAAAUUCUGUAGAAGGCAGUUAGAUGCCUAAAUUCAACUUAAAGCAUCUUUUUAUUAAUUAUUAUCAUCCCCUCAACCCCCUCUCCACUCACUUUUACGAUUCGCCACCUCCACUCAUUUCGGUCUCCCGAUUUUUUACUUUCUGUUCAUUUUCUUACGUAAUAUUAAAAUUAUUCUUACACAUAAUAUAAAUUAUUUUCUUUAAAAAAAAAAUACAAUUUCCAGCGUAAAAAUAAAAGCCUUAAAGAAGUCUGUAUUACAAACCCGGCCCAAAAAGGGCAGUUUUCCGGACAAAUUAUUUGUCCAACACCAUUAUUGUUCAUAGUAUUAUUCGAGGAAGGAGAUGAUCCAAAAUCAAAAGUCAUCACCAUCGUAAUCUUCCAAGUCAUCACCAUCGAUCCUAUCUUCCACGUCAUCAGCAAUGUGAUCCUCCAAAGCAUCCACGCCCUCCGAUAUUGCCAGCCCACCCAAGACCCCUGCGACUGCGCCCACUGCCAGUCCCGUCCCCAUCCCCAUCCCUGACUUCUUCUGCGGCUGCUCCACCACCGUCUGUCCGUAUGGCCCCUGCGCGUAUGGCCCUUGUCCGUACGCCGGAUCUCCGUAUCUUGGCUGAGGCUGCCCAUAUGCCGGCUGUCUGUAGGGGUCUUGGCCGUAGGGUGGUGCAUUGGAGUAGUAAGGAUCAGGUGGGGGUGCGCCGUAUGGAGUGGCGUAAGCCGGGGAAGCCGCGUAGCCUGCGCCUCUGGUUCCCGCUGGCGGGGGCACGCCGUAAGGGGGUGAGUAGGCAGACCCAGGCGCACGGUAGCGCGGAUCUCUCACAGAGACCUUGACUUCCACCUUGCCAUGAGGGCGGCCAGAGGGGCGGCGGAGCUCGAGAGUGCGGAUGGCCUGGGCGCCGAAGCCGACGUCAUCGACGACGUCGCGGAGGAAGAGGCGAGCGGAGCCGACGACCGGCUUGGUGUCGUCUUCGUCAUCGGCUUUGAGAUGGACAACGUCGAGGUAGAGUGUGGAGUCUUCGAUCCGGGAGGGCACUGGAAUGAGUAGAGUCUCGUUCCAGCAAGGAAAGGUGUCGCCGUCGUUGUCGACUUUGGUGGAGAGCUUGGCCGCAGGAUCCACCCAAACCACGACGUAUGGCUUCAGAGAGCCGUGACGCCAGUUGACGUUCUUCAGAUCUUUGGCGGAGGAGAUAAUCAGCUCUAUCUCGUAGCGACCAGCCAUGGAAGGGGCAAUAAGGGAAAAAUAAUGGAGAAAAUGGUCGGACUGUCGAAUGGUUGCUAGUCGUGGGUCAAGUAUUUAUAGGCUUUAAUGUCCGCUUGUCCUUCGAAAAUCUUGUCCCUUUUACCGUUAUACCCUCCUACCCAUGUUUGAAAAAAAAAAAAAAAACAAAUAAGAAACAACUUCUCUGUAAGUCAAAAGACAACAUUUUUCUAAUUUUAAAAUUAAACUAUUUUUGAACGUUCGGUGAGAGGGUAUUUUGGUAAAAAAAUAUGACAGAGGAGCUCAACUGGGGAAGGGCAUAAUAGGGAAAAGACUAACUAGGGAAAGGGUUUGGGCCCCACGGAUUGCUUUCUCACUAAGCAUCGAGAUUGUCCUGAUGCUCUGUCUUUAUGCGCACUCGAUGGUUGCGGAAUUCUAUUGGUGUAACCGGAUAAUGCCGGUGUCAGAUGUCAAUUGAGAGGAGAUCGGCGUUGUCCACACGAGGAAUAUUCUCGCAUGACAGAGAAAGGUCUCGUAACGAGAUUGGUCCUACGCGGAAUAGACACGGCGUCACUUGGGCCGGACCUUGUCAAUUUUGUAUCUUUUAGGCCCAAAAAGUGGGCCACCAAGGCAGCCCAUGGGCUUGUUGCAAGCCCACUAUUGCCAUCUUUCAUCUACUUCACCAGGAAAAGUUCUUGAUUUCUCUUCCAAGGUGGAACCGUUGAACGUCCAUGAUUAUUUGUCAUGAUUAUAAAGCAAUAAAAAUUUUAAUUUAUUUACUUAUGAUGUUUUUAUUCAAUUUAUAUGAUCAUAAUGUUAUUAAGUCACUUCUUUUGUUAUAUGUUUCUUAAAAUCAUUUGAAAAUUCAAUUUCUAAAGUCUUAAAAAUAAAAUCACUAGUCUAUGGUCCAUGACUACUAAGUUUUUGCAUUUUGUAUAAAAAUUAUUGUCAAUUUUCUAUUUUAAAAACAAAAAGGCAUAAUCAAUUAGAUGAUAUCAUGUAUGUGCCUUCGAAUUUUAUUCAUUUAUACUUGAAUUUGGUUCGUUCUAUAUUCUUGAAUUUAGAAGUCCCAAAAGAUUCUUCCAAUAUAUCAUUUUCGGUCCAAUGGAAGAAUUUUAUUUUUUAUUUGUUCACUUUUAAAAAAUCGCAUUCCAUUCUUACUUGCAAUAGAAACCCAAAAGAUUCUUCCAAUAUAUCAUUUCUGGGUCUAAUGGAAGAAUUUUAUUUUUUAUUUGUUCACUUUUAAAAAAUCGUAUUUCAUUCUUACUUGCCAUAGAAAAUAUGGGAAAUUGGUUAUGGCCUCAACACGCUAUAUCUCCCCUAAAAAUUUAGUUAUUGUUUGGAUAUAUUUCUUGUAUUUUAUAUGUAGAAAUACAUUUUAUAUAAAAAGUAUGAACUUACCUUAUAUCCUUAAAAAAUAUUUUACAAUUAAACUUUGAAAACUAAGAAAGAUCAAAGGGAAACUAUUUUCUCAUGUUAAAAUAAAAAUAAAAUAACUCCGUUAAUUUGAAGAUGGUUCAUGAUCCUUGACAAUGACACCAUUUUCUUGAUUGAUACUUUUGGUUUUAAUAGAAAUUUCUUUAUUUUCAUAGAAAUUUUGGUCAAUAACAACUAAAAAGAAGAUAAGAAUAGUGUGUAAUAUUCAAAUAUCUUCCUUUGACAUCGGCAUAAUUGACUUUUUAUUCAAUUUAUAUGAUUAUAAUGUUAUUAAGUCACUUCUUUUGUUAUAUGUUUCUUAAAAUUAUUUGAAAAUUCAAUUUCUAAAGUCUUAAAAAUAAAAUCACUAGUCUAUGGUCUAUGACUACUAAGUUUUUGCAUUUCGUAUAAAAAUUAUUAUCAAUUUUCUAUUUUAAAAACAAAAAGACACCAUCAAUCAAAUGAUGUCAUGUAUGCGCCUUCGAAUUUUAAUCAUUUAUACUUGAAUUUGAUUUGUUUUAUAUUCUUGAAGUUGGAAGACCCAAAAGAUUCUUCCAAUAUAUCAUUUCCGGGUCUAAUGGUAGAAUUUUAUUUUUUAUUUGUUCAUUUUUAAAAAAUCAUAUUCCAUUCUUACUUGCCAUAGAAAAUAUGGGAAAUUGGUUACCGCCUCAACACGCUACAUCUCCCCUAAAAAUUUAGUUAUUGUUUGGAUAUAUUUCUUGUAUUUUACACGUAGAAAUAACUUUUAUAAUAACUUUGAUAUAAAAAGUAUGAAUAUACCGUAUAUCCUUAAAAAAUAUUUUGUAAUUAAACUUUGAAAACUAAGAAAGAUCAAAGGAAAACUAAUUUCUCAUGUUAAAAUAAAAACAAAAUAACUCUGUUAAUUUGAAGAUAUUUCAUGAUUCUUGACGAUGACACCAUUUUCUUGAUUGAUACUUUUGGUUUUAAUAGAAAUUUCUUUAUUUUCAUAGAAAUUUUGGUCAAUAACAACUAAAGAGAAUAUAAGAAUAGUGUGUAAUAUUCAAAUAUCUUCCUCUAACAUCGGCAUAAUUGACUUUUUAUAGAUUGACUAAAGUUAGCUUUAAAUCCGAUGAAACCUAAAUGUGUCCAUACAUCCAAAUUAUUUAUUCAUCUUAUAAAUUUAGGUUUAGACUUAAUUAGAAUAGAUCAAAUCAAGUUAACUAAUGAUUAAGUGGUGUCUAGAUAUUGGUAGUAUAUUCACAAACAUCUAUUUUAUUUCACCUAAUCCAGACUACACCAAGGAUCUCAUUAAUUAUCUCAAAAUAAACAUCAAAACCCUAAUCUUCCAAUCUAGUCUUAUUGUACUCAUUGCUUCUUCUUGUCCCAAUCCUCCACCAUCAUGCUACACCACCAUAAGAAAGGUUCAUAGCCUCUAAUGGCUAAGUUUUAACACAAUUUUCAUAAGAGAGUAAGAAAUCGACGAUAUUAUUGAAAAGAAAGCAAAAAGUCUCCAAUAUAUGACCGUGAAAAUCCAAAUGUAAAACUACCUUCUCCUUUUAAUUUAAUGAUGAAAUAUAUAUAUAAUCUAACCCUAAAAAGACAUGUGACCUCAAGGAUGAAAAUAUUGGUUUUUAUAGAUAUAUCGACAACUCAAUUUUAUAGAGAUAUAAGAAAAUAUCGAUGAAUAUUUUGACUCAAAAUAUCAAUAGGACAAAAAUCGAUGAAAACUAGUAAACAUGUUGAAAAAAACUCUAAAAAUGAUAUAAUAAACAAUAAUAAAUAUUUUAAAGUUUUUUUAUCAAAGAAAAUGAUAUUAUACAAUAUAAUUUAUCAUAUUUGAUAAUAAUAUCGUAUAUGUCGAUAACAAAUAUGAAUUUUAUAAGUGUACAUUUAUCAUUAAAUUACAUCAAAUAUUAUUCAAUAAUAAUAUUAUAAUAUUUUAUUAUAAUAUGUUUAAUUUUAAAUAUUUAAUAUUAAAUUUAUGAUUCAUUUAAUUCAAUUGUAUUAAAUAAUAUAAAAUAAAUGAUGAUAUAUAUAUAUAUAUAUAUAUAUAUAUAUAUAUAUAUAUAUAUAUAAUUUUUUAAUAUUUAAUUAAUAUAUUAAUGAUAAUUUUUAUAUUUUUGGUAAUUAAUCAAAUGAAAAAUUUUCAUUUAAUUAUAAUUAAUUUGUUCUUUAAAAUAUUCCUUUAAUGUUUUGUUUAUAUGAUAACUUUAUAUAUAUAUAUAUAUAUACUUGGUGCACUAUGUUUAAAAAAGACAUAUAUAUCAUAUGAUUCAAAAAGGUUAAUAGACGAAGCUAUCUCUUUCUCUAAAUUUAUAGAAAUCCUUUCCAAUCAAUCUGAAUUUGAGAUUAGUUUUAUUUUUUUCCCAAUUUAAUUUAAUGAUUUUCUUGGUGUUAAUUCCAGGCAAAUGCUGUGAGGGCAUAUCGUCCUCAGUGGACGUGCAGGAAAAAGGACAUAUACCCACAGUUCUAUGAGGACGCCAAGGUGUACUGCAAUGGUGAACUGGUGAUGACCACUGGUGGGACUCAGAAGGAGUAUGUGGUCGAUGUCUGGUCUGGAAACCACCCCUUCUACCUCGGGAACCGCUCCGCUCUUCUAGUGGACGCUGAUCAAGUCGAGAAGUUCCGGAAGAAGUUUGGGGAAAUAUCACAGAUUAUGGAAAUUCCUGUCCUCAAAUAUGGAGAAAUCGUGCUACCACCUAAACGCAAAUCUGGUUCUGGUAAAGGGGGAAAGAAGAAGUAGUUGCCCAAUUUCACGGUAAAAAGAAAUAGCCUCUGUUUGGUUGCAAGGAAAAAAAUUGGAAGCAAGUUAUGAAUCUUAUCUGUUUAUUUUCUUACUUUUCUCAGCUUCCAAAUAGGGCAAUUAGGGUUUUGGUUUUCUGUUUAUUGGACAGUGUAAUUUGAUUACUUGUUAUAAAUUUUUUAAAGUAAUCCCUAUUUCGUGUUCAGUGGUAUGUCUUAAUUUUUUUUCUUUUUGAUUAUUAUUAAUUUUAAUUGUAUAUUUUAUUAAAUACUUUAAAAUGUCCUAUAGUCCAAAAGAAUAGUUUUGUCUAGAACCAUGUUCACUGAUUGUGAUGCACUAAGUAAAUAUCAGUCAGCUUACUCUGGGAAACCCCAUUGAGAUUCUGCAGUUCCCAGAACAACAAUAAUAUAAGUAAAUAUCGUUCUAUAUUCUUGAACUUAGAAGACCCAAAAGAUUCUUCCAAUAUAUCAUUUCCGGGUCCAGUGGAAGAAUUUUAUUUUUUAUUUGUUCACUUUAAAAAAAUCGCAUUCCAUUCUUGCAAUAGAAACCCAAAAGAUUCUUCCAAUAUAUCAUUUCCGGGUCCAAUGGAAGAAUUUUAUUUUUUAUUUGUUCACUUUUAAAAAAUCGUAUUCCAUUCUUACUUGCCAUAAAAAAUAUGGGAAAUUGGUUAUGGCCUCAACACGCUAUAUCUCCUCUAAAAAUUUAGUUAUUGUUUGGAUAUAUUUCUUGUAUUUUAUAUGUAGAAAUACAUUUUAUAUAAAAAAUAUGAACUUACCUUAUAUCCUUAAAAAAUAUUUUACAAUUAAACUUUGAAAACUAAGAAAGAUCAAAGGGAAACUAUUUUCUCAUGUUAAAAUAAAAAUAAAAUAACUCUGUUAAUUUGAAGAUGGUUCAUGAUCCUUGACAAUGACACCAUUUUCUUGAUUGAUACUUGUAGACCCCCUUGUUGGCAGGGAGAGGGAGGGGGAAAAUAUUAUUUUUUUUAGGAGAGUGGGUGAGAUUGGAAGUGAUGGAGAGGACGGGAAGUAGCGGGAGAUUUGAGGGGGAAGAAAUCUGGAAAAAGAGAAAAGGAAAGGGGGGAAGAUUUUUUUUGAGGGUUUUUGAGGCUGGCGAUUAAGGAUUGGAGGUUUUGGAAAAGAAGAGAUUUUUUCAGAGGAAGAGAGUAGAGGUCCGGAUUUUUAGAAAGAAAAAAACCAAAGCUGAAAGGGGAGAGGGUGAUAUCUGGAGAGGAGAAAAACAAAGAAAAUGGAGAUAGAGACAGUCUGAAGGAGACGGAAAAAAAGCUGUGCUUGGGAGGAGCCUUUCAGGUAAGAUUUUUUUUGUAAACUUCACAUCUCUUUUUCUCUCUUAGGUACAGUCUUCGAUCUUCAUGCUCACUGUGGGGAUGAGGAAUUCGUUGUUUUUUUGUAGAGAGAGAAAAGAAUUGGGCGGCUGGGGGAUUAUAAGACAGUGGGAUGCUUUUUAAAAGUUUUUAAUUCAAAUUGUUUUUUUCUAGCAAGGCAUUUGGGUUCGUGCCUAUUUUUUUACUUUGAGUAAAGCUCUCAAAGCCAUUUAUAUAUAUUUUUUUAUUAUUCCUUUCUUGCAUGGAAAUCAUAACAUGGCAGAAGACUUUUUGGUGGGCUUGAAUAUUUAUGUCCAUUUUUCUUUCUUUUGCUUUUUGGCGAACACGUUUUCACAAAUUGAAUUCUCAAAACAACUUUCAAAAUUUCAGUUUUUUUAAUCACUUCAAUCUUCAAAUUAAUUUUUCAAAAAUUCUAAUAUCCAAAUUUAAUUUCUAAAAUGUCAUCUUAAAAUAAAUCUUUCAAACAAAUUCUGAUUUCCAAAUUCAAUUCCCAAUUUCUGAAAUUCUAAUUUUUCGACUUUCAAAUUUAAUUUUCAAUUUCCAAAAUUUUAAUAUUCACAUUCAUUUAUUUAAUCAUUACUAUUUUUUGUUAUGAUUAUUAUUAUUCUAUUUACUUAUUUAUCUUAAAAUUCCAUUCUUAAACAUUUUUUCUCAAAAUUUCAAUUUUUGAACUUAAUUUUUAAUUCCCAAAAUUCCAAUUCUUAAAUUUAAUUCCCAAAAUUCCAAUUUUCAAAUUUAAUUCCCAAAACUCCAAUUUUCAAAUAAAUUCCAAAAAUCCAAUUUUCACGUGAACAAUUUUAAUUCUAUUCCGGUUCUCAAUUUUUCUUGGUUUUACAUAAGCAUGAAUGUCAUUUUCAUAAUUUCAGAACAAUGGAAUUUGUGAGAUUAAUUCGUGCAAGAUCAAUCGGGCUUUGGUGGGGGCCCCACAUACGUGAUUUUAUGAUUGAUUGAUUUGUUUGUCACGCACAAUUUAUUUAUCCUGCUCUCCGACAUGCAUGCUAUUAUUUCUUAAUUAUGCACUAACCUCUCUCUUGAUAGCGCAUGGUGGCUCGUCGCCCAGGUACGCACUUACUUUCACUCUGGUAAUUGUCCAAGCAUAUUUUGAUUCUCACGUGUGCAUGAUUUAUUCUGGGUACUCAUUGAUCUACUCGUCCACUGCCCUGAUUGUUUCAUUUUAUUAGUAGAGACCCGUUUUUAGGGACUUAAAAGGGUGCUACGGUUUUUACCGUACCUUCCUGAUAAGUAACCUGACCCCCGAACCCGAUCCGGUUUUUUGUAGAUCACCUUUUCCAAAUAAGGAGUCACACUUAGGGUUUUUCUUUCUUAUUUUGUUUACCCUUUUAAAAAUAAAACAAAAAUAAGUGGCGACUCCAAGUCAUUUUUCCUAAUCAAUAAAAUCAAUUUUUCAAAUAAAAGUCGAGCUCGCCAUCGAAUGGGAAACGCAUUGAGCCGAAAUGCGGGGUCCACAAUACUUUUGGUUUUAAUAGAAAUAAAAUUAUAACUCUGUUAUAAGUGUACAUUUAUUAUUAAAUUACAUCAAAUAUUAUUCAACAAUAAUAUUAUGAUAUUUGAUUAUAAUAUGUUUAAUUUUAAAUAUUUAAUAUUAAAUUUAUGAUUCAUUUAAUUCAAUUGUAUUAAAUAAUAUAAAAUAAAUGAUGAUAUAUAUAUAUAUAAUUUUUUAAUAUUUAAUUAAUAUAUUAAUGAUAAUUUUUAUAUUUUUGGUAAUCAAUCAAAUGAAAAAUUUUCAUUUAAUUAUAAUUAAUUUGUUCUUUAAAAUAUUCCUUUAAUGUUUUGUUUAUAUGAUAACUUUAUAUAUAUAUAUAUACUUGGUGCACUAUGUUUAAAAAAGGGUGAGCUUGGCCCAAUGGCUGGAUAAGGCAUCUUUAUGCGUAAUAUUCAUACCUUUACUUAAUCUCAUAUGUCAUAAUUGAGUCAAAUUCUCACAUUUUCUACUUCUUUUUUUUUUUGGGUCUUUUUAUUAAAAAAUAGUGCAUUAGUUCUCAAGUAUUUAUAGCACAAUCAUUAGUAUCUUUACAAAUAUAUAUUUAAUACAACUCAAUUAUUAAUGCAAAAGAGUUGAGAUUAAACCUAGUGGACCUUGAUUAAGUCAAAUAAGAGUACAUAAUUGCCAUAUUUGAAUCCUUAAGAGGUCGAAUCAAAAGAUUAUACAUUAUUUAAUUUAAUAAUAAUAAUAACUAUAAAAAAAUAUUUUAAGAAUAAAAAAACCAAUAUUGAUAAUUAUUAAAAAAGUAAAUUUUGGUCAAGUUAUAAGUUCAAUGCAUAUGUGUCGUGCUAGAGUUUUAUGACAAACAUAACUCGAGGCACCGACCAUGCCAUAUUUAUUUCUAUAUUAAUACAUUAUUAUCAAUGAAUUAAAAUUUAGGUGUGUUCUUAUUGUCAAUGAUUCUUACAAUAAAGCCGACAAGUCUCAUAUACAAAAAUAAGAGGCGUCUUCUAUGGUUGGGUUGUAUGGGGUAUGGGAGAAAAAGGCAAACCAAUGAGAAAAUUUGAAUAUCUUAUAGUUCUAGUUUCCCAAUGAAAAUUGGCGACCUAACCUUCCUCCCUUCCUCCGUCGAGUCCAGCGACCUCUUCUCUUCCUCCGCCACAAAGUCCUGCCUGAUUUGGCAGAUGGGCAUCGAUAAUCGGUUGUGCGCUGGAAAUCAGCACCAUGGAUCAGCAAAGCUUGGCAGACUGUAAACUCAAAAAUCCUUUACAUAUAUAGCUGAGGCAUGUUUGAUCAACUGGCCCAAGGGUGUCUUAUUUCUCAGGUUCCCUUUACCAAUACAGGUCAAAAUCAAGAAGGAUUAGCCCACCUUGACAUUAUAAUGUUGCAUGGAAAAAGUUUCCCGAGAAACCCAAGAAACUUUGAAAGUUCUAGAAUAACGGGUUGAAGAAUCUUAUAAUUCACCAUAUUUUCUUUUUCUUUUUUGGUAUUUUUAAUUAUAUAAAAAAAGAAUAAUAAAUAUCAUAAAAAUAAAUAUUAAUUAUUAAAUUAAGAAAAUCAAAUAUUAUUAAUAUUUUAUUUUUAUUAAGGAAACAAAUAUUAUUUUUUUAUUUAUGAUUUAUGAAAAUAUUGAUUCUACCAUCAUCUACACUAAAGUGCUUAACCCACGACAAUCUCCUCAUUGGCGUGCUCAAAGUUCCUGCAAAUGUUUCUUUACCGAAGAAAUGUGAAGGAAAAUAAAAUAAAAUAAAAUAAAAUCACAUAAAAAAUAUCAUGAAAUCCAUAAUAUACUAUAUUUUAUAAAUAUAAAAAUAAAAUAUGGUUCUUAUAUAUUUCCAAGUCUAUUUCAAUCAAAGUGUUAUUUUAAACAAAAGUUCAAAGGACUAGCAUUGAAAGACAAAAUAUGAAAAACAACCAUCGCUUCUAUUAUGCCUACUUUUAAUAGAAAAAAUGUAAAUGUUUAUGACUUAUUAGGCUCCAAGCCAAUAAUUCAUUAGUCAAGAUCUCAUUUCGAUACAUCAUUUAAGUGUAAUCUCUUACUAAAUAAUUUGUGAGGGUCAUUUAAUUCAACUUUUGUUGAAGCAAGAUAGAAGCCGAUAUUGAAUAUGCUAUGAGACAUAAGGGAUAAGAACAACGAAUGCAAGGAGGACUUGUAAGAAUAAGUGGGAGAUGUUGUUGUGCCCUAAUAUUUAUAAGAUUUUGGAGAAUGAUAAGAUUAAGGCAAAUAGUUGAAUACCUAUUUGGGUUUGUGAUUUAAAGUUUGAAAUCAAUUGCAUAUGUAGUGAUAGAUAUGUUAUUGAUAUUGUCAAUCAAACAUGCAAAUGCAUAAAUGAGACUUAACCGGUAUCCCUUGUUCAUAUGCAAUUUUAACUAUAUUUGUAGAAGAGAAAUAAUAAGUUUUAAGUUAUCUUUAAAAAUUACUAGACUCGUUAAUGAAUCAAACACAUUAACUCUUACUUAAUGUUUAUUUGUUUACUUAAAAAAAUUGUAAAAGUAUGAUAUAUAUAUAUAUAAAAUAAAUUAACCUAGCCAUUUAAAAUAAAUUUUGAUUUAAGACUUUUUCGUGUUUUUGAGUUUUAUGACUUUUUAGUUUAAUUAAAUCAAUUUUUGAGUUUAAAUAUUUUUUAAAAAAUAAUAAAUUUAUUUGUUUAAUAAAAAAUAUUAAAGAAGUUAAAGGAAAUUCAGAAAAGCAAAUCAUAUUUGAAAAUUUUCAAUACUUGUACAGUGCGGAGAGAAAGUGAGAGAACAGUAUAUUCUGUUCAAUUUUAUGAAAAAUAAAACACCAGUCCAACACCUAAACCUCCAUUAGAAACUCCUUAUCCUUCUCCAACCUUUCCAUUGUACCAGCCUCCAACGUUAUCUCAACGUCAAUGCUUCCUCCCCCGGUCUUCCCCUGAUACAAAUACACCAUUCCGUCAAAUUUGUUGUUCGAUCCACUUCUCACCCUCUCCGGCUUCCCAAACCCAAAGUCCACGUCGUACACCUUGAACCUCGGCGAGCUUCCCACCGUAACGCAGUUCACUCCGGCGUCUUUGAACUGGAAUAUUAUUGGGUUGCUCUCCCACUUAUCGUUGCGUUCGUUGAUGGCUUUCGCGUCGUUCGUUACGAUCGCUUUUUGAAUCAUUGCCGCCGCGAACUCCGGCGGGUUUGCGUAGAGGAGUCCGGCUGCGGUGACGGUGAAGAUGGCUUGAAUCAGGUUGCCGAAGUAGGACUCCGGCAUGGGAGGGUCGACCCUCUUGCGGCAGUUGGCGAAGACGGUGUAGACGGUGACGUCCUCGGGUUUGAGUUGGCGAGCGCGUGUCACCGCGAGCCACACGUGCGUGGAGAGCGAUUGGAAGGAGGAGAAGGGUCUGGAGCCGUCAGAUGGGGUUUUGUUGAGCGUUGACUUGACCCGGUUGAUUUGAGAUUCCGAGAAUCGGAAGAUGCGCUCGCGGAGAAGCGGCGGCGGCUCCGACGUGCCGCUUGGAUUGGCGGCUGUGGGGUCGAGGGGGAGGUCGAACUUCACGCGCGUUUUGCGCGCUUUGGUGCGGUCGAGGAACGGUGGGACGGAGAUGGAGUCGGCUCCACUGCAGAUUUCGGCCCACGAGCUCAUGAAGUGCCACGUGGAGGUACCGUCGAGGACAGCGUGGUUGAACGCGCAUCCCAUUGCGAGGCCAUCUCUUAGCUUGGUGAACUGCGGAUCAUGACAGAAAAACAGUUGAAGCAGUUGAAUAACCUGGGACAACAAACUUUGUUCUAGUCCAUCUUUUCAACUAUUGGGAAAUCAUUCCUUUUGUACCAAAGUCAUAUGACCACUUUUAAUAGAAAAUAAAUAAAUAAAUAAAUUGUUACCUGUAGGACGAGGAGGGGUUUAUGAAGACCCUCAAAGUUCAAGACUUGGGUGUGUGGCAGCAUAUCUUUCAUCAUGCUUGUGCUCUCCACAUCCAUUAGAUCAGAGACACUGACAUGAUCAGCACUUGCUUCCAACACUUCUACACCCUCCAUUUCAUCAUCAUACACGACCUUAAAGACCCCAUCUUCAUCCUUCUCUAGCUUCCCAGCCAACUGAUAAAACUCUUCCAAAACUACCCCUAACCCAUCCUUCAAUUUACCCACCAUGUCCUCAAAGUCACACCCCUUGUAGAAUAACAGUUUUUGGUUAUAGUAAAAGGCCAAAUAUGGGAGAUCAAAUGUGACCAAUUGACACUCUCUUCUUCCUAGCUUCUUAGUGGGCAUGAUGUGGGAUUUUCCAUGGACAGCCACCUUCACAACCUCAGCUUCCUCCUUCUUCACAACUUGAUCUACGCAUGGAGUGGCGUAGGCGGACUCAGGCGCACGGUAGCGCGGAUCUCUCACGGAGACCUUAACUUCCACCUUUCCCUGAGGGUGGCCGGAGGGGCGGUGGAGCUCGAGAGUGCGGAUGGCCUGGGCUCCGAAGCCGACUUCGUCGACCACGUGGGGGAGGAAGAGGCGAGCGGAGCCGACGACCGGCUUGGUGUCGUCUUCGUCAUCGGCUUUGAAAUGGACGACGUCGAGGUAGAGUGUGGAGUCUUCGAUCCGGGAGGGGACCGGAAUGAGUAGAGUCUCGUUCCAGCCAGGAGAGGUGUCGCCUUCGUUGUCGACUUUGGUGGAGAGCUUGGCCGCAGGAUCCACCCAAACUACGACGUAUGGCUUCAGAGAGCCGUGACGCCUGUUCACAUUCUUCAGGUCUUUGGCGGAGGAGAUAAUCAGCUCUAGCUCGUAGCGACUAGC
rnacentral:lncRNA from 1 species